rnacentral:tRNA from 1 species
GGUGAUGAGGGGCGAAGCCCCUCAUAUCCUUGGUAAGGAUGAGGUCACCGGUUCAAAUCCGGUUAUCAGCUCCA